ACUAGAUCAGAUAAUCAGACACAGUUAAAAUAGCACGCGCUCAGUAAAAUUACAUAUUAGUGGAAGAGACAAGCCUUGAAUAAAUCGCCUUUCGGGGAGUAUGACCCCCUCCCCGAAACCCACUCAGGCGCUGCUCGCUCGCACGCCCACUGAGCUCGGAGCGGAGCCCGAGCCCUUUCCCAGCACACAGGGUUCAUUUCCAGACUGAAAGACAUCCCAGAGACAACUCCAGAGGCCAAGGCGGGUCGGCUUCCUGCGUGGGCCCAGCGCCGGGCACUGAAAGGUGAAGGCGCUUCUUCCGCUCGGAGGAAAGCCUCUGGCGGUUCUCGCUUCGCGGGCUCGGGAUGGACACGCGCGUAGGGCUGGGGAGGUGACGCGCGGACAACGCCGGGGCGAGCAAACUACAACUCCCAGGCAGCUGUGCGCCACGCGGGCGGCCUACUGUCGGGUGUGGCCGCGAGGGGCGGCCUAUAUAAGCUCUUGCUCGCGGCUUCAGCGCCCUUUCUCCCCGCCGCAUUCCCGGUGUCGACUUACUAGCUGCAAGCCUCUGCCUGCCUUCCUGCGCGCCGUUCCCCGCUAGUCGCUGCUGCUGGCGCGCACUCGCCGGGUUUUUCCUCCCACGGCCUCGAGAUGGUGGUGAAUGUGGCACGGAGGAGCCGGGCCUUCCAACCCGGUGGGCCCGAGCUCCGAAAGGCCCCCUCGGCAGUGAGAGGGGCGGGAGCCCGCGGGGGCCGCGCCCUUCUCUCGCUUCGGACUGCGCAACGCUGCGCUCUGGGCUGACAGGCGGAUAAAACGGUCCCAUCAAGACUGAGAAAAAGCACACCAGCUAUUGGCACAGCGUGGGCAGUGGGGCCUACAGGAUGACUGACUUAGUCUACAGAGAUCCCGGCGUACUUAAGCAGGUAGUAAUGAUGGACAGAUGAAGACUCUUAAGAUGACAGAAGGUGAUUUUUCUGGUGAUCGAGGACUUCCGGGGUAAUGACAGUGAUGAAAUGCAGGGGACCUGGUUGCCCCCAAGUUUCCUGGCAGUGUGUGAUACUGAGGAGAUUCAUGUUACAUGUAAAGCUGUCCUCAUUUGUGACUAUGGACCUAUGGAGUUGGGACAAUCUCUAUGGGAAGCAGAAGGCAAGGACCCCGGUCAUUUUAGGUAGAAACAACAGCAUGCUAAUGCAAAAAAUUAUGCAGUGUGCUACUGAACUUCAGAGGUGAUCAAUAAAAGAAGAAUAAAAAGACUAAUAAAAGUAUAUUUGUGUUUGUAUUUUUUUGUAGAGACCGAACUGGUCUCUU
rnacentral:lncRNA from 10 species